GACGAACGCUGGCGGCGGGCUUAACACAUGCAAGUCGAACGGAAAGGCCCUGCUUUUGUGGGGUGCUCGAGUGGCGAACGGGUGAGUAACACGUGAGUAACCUGCCCUUGACUUUGGGAUAACUUCAGGAAACUGGGGCUAAUACCGGAUAGGAGCUCCUGCUGCAUGGUGGGGGUUGGAAAGUUUCGGCGGUUGGGGAUGGACUCGCGGCUUAUCAGCUUGUUGGUGGGGUAGUGGCUUACCAAGGCUUUGACGGGUAGCCGGCCUGAGAGGGUGACCGGCCACAUUGGGCCUGAGAUACGGCCCAGACUCCUACGGGAGGCAGCAGUGGGGAAUAUUGCACAAUGGGCGGAAGCCUGAUGAAGCAACGCCGCGUGCGGGAUGACGGCCUUCGGGUUGUAAACCGCUUUAGCCUGUGACGAAGCGUGAGUGACGGUAAUGGGUAAAGAAGCACCGGCUAACUACGUG
rnacentral:rRNA from 1 species